rnacentral:lncRNA from 1 species
GACCGAAAGGGGCUGUAGCAGAAGCUAGAGGGGCUGGAGCUAAAUAGCUAGCCAACAUGUUCUUAAUGCUCGAAAAAUCUGCUCCAAAAGUAGUGGAGAGCUGUGUCACCAUAACGGACAUGAUGCUUUAUAGUUGGUCUGCACACUUCUGAGCUUGAGAUGCGCGCUCCUCAGCCUGAGAUAUGCACUCCUGAGCCUGAGUUGCUUGUGCCAAAGCCUCAUCAAACUGCUCCCAGCUAACAACCCCAAAAGCGUGUGAGGAGAUGCUCACCUCAAAUCAGUAGCUAGUCGGCGUAUGUUCGAGCCUACAAUGAAUCCUUCGAGAGUGCUCAAGUCCCAAGAUCUAAGAUAGAUGGUCAUAAGGGCCAGAGGUGUCUGAGCCCUCACUCGUAGGUGCAUCUAACUAAUGCUACAAUUGCAAAUUCAAAUAAAAUCUCAAAAAAUUUCGACGUUAACAUUAGUGAAUAAAUUCUAAGAAAUUCUACUACCAUACACAUUGUCAAAGCAAAAUGAGUGAAUUGUAGGAAAUUAUAAUAUACUGUUAUUACUUACAAAAAUCCUCCCGAUCGUGGCAUUCAUCGGCCUGUCCUUCUUAUCC